AUGGAGGGAGUACAUACAUAUAGCAGCGAUUUUGUGAGGUUAAUUGUUACUAUAUGGGCCAUCUGGGGAGCACGAAGAAAGGCAAUUCAUGAGGGCAUAUUCAAAUCACCUAGUGCUACAGAUGGUUUCAUUAAUAGCUACCUGGCAGAUCUUCAGGUUGUGAAAGGCAUAGCAAAGAGACCAACAACGGUGGUGCAAGCAAGACCAACACAAUGGCAAGCACCAAGUGAGGGGUGUGCAAAGGUGAAUGUAAAUGCAGCGGUGUUUGGUCGGGCAAGAUUCGGAGCAGUGGCUGCGGUGUGCAGAAGCUCUGACGGUACGUUCCAGGGAGCGUCUACGAUGUUUUACAAGCACAUUGUUGAUCCCCAGACACUCGAGGCCCUGGCCAUCAGGGAGGCUUUAGCUUUGUCAGAUGAUUUAUAUCAGAGGAGAAUACAUGUUGCAUCUGAUAUAAUCACUUUGUCAAAUCAUUCUUUUUUUAAUCACUUUCCCUUUCUUCCUGUGCUUAGGGAACGGCUCUAUUUUGCACUGCUCUUAAAAUUGAUGAAAUUACUUUACUUAAUUCUUCACUCCAAAUGUACUUUACUUAAUUCUUUCACUCCAAAUGUACUCCCUCUGUAA
rnacentral:rRNA from 1 species